rnacentral:rRNA from 1 species
CCUACGGGUGGCAGCAGUGGGGAAUUUUGGACAAUGGGCGCAAGCCUGAUCCAGCCAUGCCGCGUGCAGGAUGAAGGCCUUCGGGUUGUAAACUGCUUUUGUACGGAACGAAAAGGUGCCUUCUAAUAAAGGGCGCUCAUGACGGUACCGUAAGAAUAAGCACCGGCUAACUACGUGCCAGCAGCCGCGGUAAUACGUAGGGUACAAGCGUUAAGCGGAGUUACUGGGGGUGGAGCGUGAAGAGGCAGUUGAAAUCCCCGGGCUCAACCUGGGAACUGCCUUUGUGACUGCAAGGCUGGAGUGCGGCAGAGGGGGAUGGAAUUCCGCGUGUAGCAGUGAAAUGCGUAGAUAUGCGGAGGAACACCGAUGGCGAAGGCAAUCCCCUGGGCCUGCACUGACGCUCAUGCACGAAAGCGUGGGGAGCAAACAGGAUUAGAUACCCCUGUAGUC